rnacentral:lncRNA from 1 species
GGGUGGCAAGAGUGGCAAGGGUGGCAAGGGUGGCAAAGGUGGCAAGGGUGGCAAGGGUGGCAAAGGUGGCAAGGGUGGCAAAGGUGGCAAAGGUGGCAAAGGUGGCAAGGGUGGCAAAGGUGGCUAGGGUGGAAAAGGUGGCAAGGGUGGCAAAGGUGGCAAUACCGUAAACCUCUGACUAUAAGCCUUGGGCUUAUAUUCUUUUGUAAGCGAUUUUUGAUGGGCUUGGGGGGGGGGCUUAUAUACGGGGGCCUUAUACAUGGACGAUCAAUUGUGUUAGUAAUAAACAAGUCA